rnacentral:rRNA from 1 species
AGGCUACACAUGCAGUCGGACGGUAGCACAGGAGAGCUUGCUCUCCGGGUGACGAGUGGCGGACGGGUGAGUAAUGUCUGGGAAACUGCCCGAUGGAGGGGGAUAACUACUGGAAACGGUAGCUAAUACCGCAUAACGUCUUCGGACCAAAGUGGGGGACCUUCGGGCCUCACGCCAUCGGAUGUGCCCAGAUGGGAUUAGCUAGUAGGUGGGGUAACGGCUCACCUAGGCGACGAUCCCUAGCUGGUCUGAGAGGAUGACCAGCCACACUGGAACUGAGACACGGUCCAGACUCCUACGGGAGGCAGCAGUGGGGAAUAUUGCACAAUGGGCGCAAGCCUGAUGCAGCCAUGCCGCGUGUAUGAAGAAGGCCUUCGGGUUGUAAAGUACUUUCAGCGGGGAGGAAGGCGGUGAGGUUAAUAACCUCGCCGAUUGACGUUACCCGCAGAAGAAGCACCGGCUAACUCCGUGCCAGCAGCCGCGGUAAUACGGAGGGUGCAAGCGUUAAUCGGAAUUACUGGGCGUAAAGCGCACGCAGGCGGUCUGUUAAGUCAGAUGUGAAAUCCCCGGGCUUAACCUGGGAACUGCAUUUGAAACUGGCAGGCUUGAGUCUCGUAGAGGGGGGUAGAAUUCCAGGUGUAGCGGUGAAAUGCGUAGAGAUCUGGAGGAAUACCGGUGGCGAAGGCGGCCCCCUGGACGAAGACUGACGCUCAGGUGCGAAAGCGUGGGGAGCAAACAGGAUUAG